AUUGAACGCUGGCGGCAGGCCUAACACAUGCAAGUCGAGCGGAUGAAGGGAGCUUGCUCCUGGAUUCAGCGGCGGACGGGUGAGUAAUGCCUAGGAAUCUGCCUGGUAGUGGGGGAUAACGUCCGGAAACGGGCGCUAAUACCGCAUACGUCCUGAGGGAGAAAGUGGGGGAUCUUCGGACCUCACGCUAUCAGAUGAGCCUAGGUCGGAUUAGCUAGUUGGUGGGGUAAAGGCCUACCAAGGCGACGAUCCGUAACUGGUCUGAGAGGAUGAUCAGUCACACUGGAACUGGGAAACGGUCCAGACUCCUACGGGAGGCAGCAGUGGGGAAUAUUGGACAAAGGGCGAAAGCCUGAUCCAGCCAUGCCGCGUGUGUGAAGAAGGUCUUCGGAUUGUAAAGCACUUUAAGUUGGGAGGAAGGGCAGUAAGUUAAUACCUUGCUGUUUUGACGUUACCAACAGAAUAAGCACCGGCUAACUUCGUG
rnacentral:rRNA from 1 species